rnacentral:lncRNA from 1 species
CCUAAAUAUACACACACCUAAAAACCUUACGGAAUCCGUCGUUCAGCAGAAAAGACCCCACCCCCUAGAUUUUUGUCUUCCUCGCACCCCAUCCCCAAUUCUCUGAAGAACAAAAACCUCUCCUCUUUACAUAUCAAGAGAUCCCCUCACCCCCUAUAAUUUCCCUUAAGCUUCAACGACGGAGACUUCUGAUCUUCAUCCUCACAUUCUACGAGAAAUCAGCCGCAACACACACACAAAGCCAUCAUUGUCUCCUUCAUUAGAGCAUCUUGAAAACUCUAUCUUCACAGCCAUGUAGAAGCUCCAAGACCUCACCUAAAAUCAUCCCCAAAACUCCAUGAAAACACUAUAAAAAUAAAAAUAAAAACCCAGCUCAAAUUCUGCCCAAAACAUCGCACAAAUACUGCAGCUCCAAGGUUGAGUUCGAGUCCGCUGGCGAGUUUAGGUUCGAGCGAGCUUCGGUCUUGGUUCGUGAGUCCCGAACAAGUUUUGUUGAUAUGAUUGAUUUAGAAACUUUGUACUGAUUUGAACAUAGGGAAAUAGAUUGGUUGUUGAUCUCCCCGGUCAUAAUUGCUGGUAAUUCUUUUUCCAUUCUUAUGCUUUUGCUAACUUGUAAUUAGGCCUAUCUUAUCCUUUUAUUUUGUGUUGUUACGCUUUUUUUUUUAUAUUUUUCUUGAAAUGGGUAUUGGCCGAUUCUAAGAUUGCCUUUGAAAUUGAGUUGUAGAGAUGAAUUUGGGUAAAGGGAAAUUAAAAGAUUGUAUCUCUUUAAGUAAUCAUUUUGGGUGCCGUUGAUUUGGGUUCUUUGAUAGAUAGUUAAGAAUGAAAUUUUUUAAGUAUGAUGAUAGUUCAAUUUUAAAGGGGAUAGCUUUCUGUAAUGGCAUUUAGCAUCUUCAUUAUGGCUAAAAGGUGCAACUUUUUGGAUAUAGUACUUAUAAGAAAGAAUUGCAGAAUGCAACAAAAGUUGGAACUUUUUAUGCACCUGUUUUAUGGUUGGUAGAUCUUGUUAUCUGGUUGGGUUGUUACAACUGAAAUAGUUAAUUGGGGCAUCAAGCUAGUCACUUUAUAGUUUUGACAAUCUAGGUGUUUUUGGUUAGAUGUAGUUUGGAGGACUGCUUAUGAUUUAGAGGUAGCUUAAUUACUUAAAUUUUUGCAGGGAGAACUUGGGUAAGAAGAGAAAGGGAGUAGAUAUUUCAGUUACUUGUCAAAAAAAUGCGAGUCCAUUCACAGUAGUCAGGUCACAUUUAUCGCUUGAGGAUUACUCGCGAAGGAAAAAGAAAUCUAUGUCAUUGAAAAUUCUAGCUGUUGUAGGAAGAGUGUAAUCAUAGGAAUAGUCACUUCCCCGCCUUGUGGGAGUGCACGUUCAUGGUCACCUGAACGAGGUCUUAAAAGGAAAAUAGGUUUCCUUGAUUCAGCCAUUCGUAGCUUUCUUUAGGCACAACUUAAUCUAUUAUCGUGAUUGUGUACACGUUCGCGUAGUAUGAUUAUGAUCCUAAUAAAUAAAUCGAGGUAUGUGUUUGCGCAACUUUGACCAAACUUUCUUA